GAAAAUAAAUCAUCAAAUGCUGUUACCUGGAAAGACAAAGAAAAGACUUGGGGAAAAAUUGCUGAACAAUAUAACAGCCAAUCACCAGGAUCUGUAAGAAUACAUCAUAUUUUUGUACAAUUGGUAAUUAGUAGGUAAGUAUUUAAUUUAUUUUACUUUAAUAGCCAAGAACUGCAAGUUGUUCAAAACAAAAAUAUGACAACAUAAAAAAAAAUUUAAGAGGUACCAAAUCUUAGCUUUUUGUUACUGGUGGUGGUCCUUUUAAAAAUGUAUCUGAACCUUCUACAGAACUUGAAUCAGAACUAUUCAGAACUAUUCAAGUAUCUGUUGAAGGAAUUGACUGUGCGUUUGAUUCUAACGUCAUAACAGAUAAUUCAAAUGGAAUCAUUGAUCCAGUGUAUGAUCAAUUUGAAAUAGAAGUUUGGCCAACUGAUGAAAAUAAUAAAAGCGAAGACCUUAUCACAGAAGACAUUUUGCAAUCAAAUACUAAUGUCAUAUAAAUACCAAGUGUAUCAACGUGGACUUCUUCUGAUUCUGUAAAAUUAUUAAGAUCAAAACCAAUAGCUACUGAGUUAAGUUUCAGUGUAUCACCAUCUAAAAAAAAAACAGGUAAAUUAUUUCUGCUCUGGUAAGUUGGUUUCAGAUAUGAGAUGAACUUGUUUCAGGUAAU